CAGCCGAUGGCGUAGUGGUCACUGCGCUCGCCUUGCACGCGGGAGACCCGGGUUCGAUUCCCGGAGGGUUAA
rnacentral:tRNA from 1 species